rnacentral:rRNA from 1 species
CCUACGGGCGGCAGCAGUGGGGAAUAUUGCACAAUGGGGGAAACCCUGAUGCAGCGACGCCGCGUGAGUGAAGAAGUAUCUCGGUACGUAAAGCUCUAUCAGCAGGGAAGAAAAUGACGGUACCUGACUAAGAAGCCCCGGCUAACUACGUGCCAGCAGCCGCGGUAAUACGUAGGGGGCAAGCGUUAUCCGGAAUUACUGGGUGUAAAGGGAGCGUAGACGGCAGCACAAGUCUGGAGUGAAAUCCCGGGGCUUAACCCCGGAACUGCUUUGGAAAAUGUGAGGCUGGAGUGCAGGAGGGGGAAGCGGAAUUCCUAGUGUAGCGGUGAAAUGCGUAGAUAUUAGGAGGAACACCGGUGGCGAAGGCGGCUUACUGGACUGUAACUGACGUUGAGGCACGAAAGCGUGGGGAGCAAACAGGAUUAGAUACCCCUGUAGUC